rnacentral:misc_RNA from 1 species
GAUGAAGAACGUAGCAAAAUGCGAUAAGUAAUGUGAAUUGCAGAAUUCAGUGAAUCAUCGAAUCUUUGAACGCACAUUGCGCCCGCUGGUAUUCCGGCGGGCAUGCCUGUUCGAGCGUCAUUUCAACCCUCAAGCCCCCGGGUUUGGUGUUGGGGAUCGGCUCUGCCCUUCUGGGCGGUGCCGCCCCCGAAAUACAUUGGCGGUCUCGCUGCAGCCUCCAUUGCGUAGUAGCUAACACCUCGCAACUGGAACGCGGCGCGGCCAUGCCGUAAAACCCCAACUUCUGAAUGUUGACCUCGGAUCAGGUAGGAAUACUCGCUGAACUUAAGCAUAUCAAUAAGCGGAGGA